UAGGGAAUCUUCCACAAUGGGCGCAAGCCUGAUGGAGCAACACCGCGUGAGUGAAGAAGGGUUUCGGCUCGUAAAGCUCUGUUGUUAGAGAAGAACGUGCGUGGGAGCAACUGUUCACGCAGUGACGGUAUCUAACCAGAAAGUCACGGCUAACUACGUGCCGG
rnacentral:rRNA from 1 species